GACAGAGGGUGCAAACGUUGUUCGGAAUUACUGGGCGUAAAGCGAGUGUAGGCGGUCUCGUAAGUCGGGUGUGAAAGCCCUGGGCUCAACCCAGGAAGUGCACUCGAAACUGCGAGGCUAGAGUACUGGAGAGGUUGGUGGAAUUCUCGGUGUAGAGGUGAAAUUCGUAGAUAUCGAGAGGAACACCGGUGGCGAAGGCGGCGUCCUGGCCUGCGACUGACGCUGUGGCGCGAAAGCUAGGGGAGCGAACGGG
rnacentral:rRNA from 1 species